UACGGAGGGUGCAAGCGUUAUCCGGAUUCACUGGGUUUAAAGGGUGCGUAGGCGGGCAGGUAAGUCAGUGGUGAAAUCUCCGAGCUUAACUCGGAAACUGCCGUUGAUACUACUUGUCUUGAAUAUUGUGGAGGUAAGCGGAAUAUGUCAUGUAGCGGUGAAAUGCUUAGAUAUGACAUAGAACACCAAUUGCGAAGGCAGCUUACUACACAAUGAUUGACGCUGAGGCGCGAAAGCGUGGGGAGCAAACAGG
rnacentral:rRNA from 1 species